rnacentral:rRNA from 1 species
ACUCCUACGGGAGGCAGCAGUGGGGAAUAUUGCACAAUGGGCGCAAGCCUGAUGCAGCCAUGCCGCGUGUAUGAAGAAGGCCUUCGGGUUGUAAAGUACUUUCAGCAGUGAGGAAGGUGGGUAUGUUAAUAGCAUACUCAUUUGACGUUAGCUGCAGAAGAAGCACCGGCUAACUCCGUGCCAGCAGCCGCGGUAAUACGGAGGGUGCGAGCGUUAAUCGGAAUUACUGGGCGUAAAGCGCAUGCAGGUGGUUUGUUAAGUCAGAUGUGAAAGCCCGGGGCUCAACCUCGGAAUUGCAUUUGAAACUGGCAAACUAGAGUACUGUAGAGGGGGGUAGAAUUUCAGGUGUAGCGGUGAAAUGCGUAGAGAUCUGAAGGAAUACCGGUGGCGAAGGCGGCCCCCUGGACAGAUACUGACACUCAGAUAGCGAAAGCGUGGGGAGCAAACAGGAUUAGAUACCCUGGUAGCACAGC